GAUGAACGCUGGCGGCGUGCCUAAUACAUGCAAGUCGAGCGAACGGACGAGAAGCUUGCUUCUCUGAUGUUAGCGGCGGACGGGUGAGUAACACGUGGAUAACCUACCUAUAAGACUGGGAUAACUUCGGGAAACCGGAGCUAAUACCGGAUAAUAUUUUGAACCGCAUGGUUCAAAAGUGAAAGACGGUCUUGCUGUCACUUAUAGAUGGAUCUGCGCUGCAUUAGCUAGUUGGUAAGGUAACGGCUUACCAAGGCAACGAUGCAUAGCCGACCUGAAAGGCGGCUCGGCAAAACUGGAACGGGAGCACGGUCAAGAAUCCUACGGGAGGCAGCAGUAGGGAAUCUUCCGCAAUGGGAGCAGUCCGGACGGAGCAACGCCGCGUGAGUGAUGAAGGUCUUCGGAUCGUAAAACUCUGUUAUUAGGGAAGAACAUAUGUGUAAGUAACUGUGCACAUCUUGACGGUACCUAAUAAGAAAGCCACGGCUAACUACGGG
rnacentral:rRNA from 1 species